CCAUUUCUAUUGCUCUCAGCUACCAAGUGACAAGAUUAAUUUCAUCUUCUAUCAAUGAACUUCUAGUUUCAUUGCAGUCAUUAAACUUCAGUUUGUAAGUUAAAAAUUGUUCAACUGUGAUUUUUUUUCCCCCGGUAAGGUCACCAUUUUAAAUUUUGGUAGAAUUGCAAUUAGAUUUUUGACGUGAUAUAUUUAUUAAAAUUUUACAAUUAAAAAUAUGCUAUGGAUUUCUUAUUUAGUCAGCAUAGCAAAAUUUUGACUUAAUC
rnacentral:misc_RNA from 1 species